ACACCAUGCUGUCUUUACAGAAACUGAAAUAUAGUGAUAUAUACUUGAAACGUACACAAUGUUAUAAGCCAAUAAGACUUAAAUAAAAUAAUUAAAUUAAAAAAAAAAUGGAGAAGAUCAGCCUGGAGAACAUUCCAGGAGGAGGGGAUGCCAAUAGCAAAGGCUCAGAGGCAGGAAUGAGCUAGGCUGAGGCCUAAUGAAUUGGAGAGGGGCCAGAUGACACAGGCCUCAUAAGCCCAUGUUUGGACUUUGUGUUACACGCAUCCAUUACAGGAUGAACACCAAAUUUAUAUUUUUAAAAGCCCACAGAGGCCAGCCCUGGUGGCCUAGUGGUUAAGUUCGGUACACUCUGCUUAGGCUGCCCAGGUUCAGUUCCUGGGCGUGGACCUACACCACUCGUCUGUCAGCGGCCGUGCUGUGGCAGUGGUUCACAUACAAAAAAAAAGAGGAAGAUUGGCAACAGAUGUUAGCUCAGUGCGACUCUUCCUGAGACAAAAAACAAGCCUAUGGGUUGCUGUGUGGAGAAUGGACUGGAUGGGGGGAGAGCUUGAAGAAGGGAGACCAGUGAGGAGGCUGUUGGAUGCAUCCAAGAGAGAGAUGUGAUGGCCUGGAGCAGAUCCUGGUGAGAACAACCCUGAUGACUUAACAGUUUUCCAAGAGCUAAUCACGAAGGAGGCCGACUGGCAUCUUGUUUCGAUCUAGCCUCUCUGCCAGUUUCUGCAGGAAGUCCUCAAGCUGUGCCAAGAUUGUCAUGUCUGUGGACAUAGCUCCAGUGGGGCCCUCUCCCCUCGCCCUUUGCAGCCACAAGAAGCAGCAUGCAGGUCUCCAUGUCAGCAAACUUAGCGGAAUGCAAGAGAAGGAAAAUGAUCAAUGUGAAAGGAAACCCGGAGCUUUAAGAUAUCCACUGAACACAGAAGUAAAUAGCAAUAAUUACACUGACACUUACACAUGCGG